UUCCGGUUGAUCCCGCCGGAGGCCAUUGCUAUCGGAGUCCGAUUUAGCCAUGCUAGUCGCACGAGUUCAGACUCGUGGCGGAAAGCUCAGUAACACGUGGCCAAACUACCCUACAGACCGUAAUAACCUCGGGAAACUGAGGCUAAUGACGGAUACGGCUCUCACUCUGGAGUGAGGAGAGCCCGAAACGCUCACGCGCUAUAGGAUGUGGCUGCGGCCGAUUAGGCAGACGGUGGGGUAACGGCCCACCGUGCCGAUAAUCGGUACGGGUUGUGAGAGCAAGAGCCCGGAGACGGAAUCUGAGACAAGAUUCCGGGCCCUACGGGGCGCAGCAGGCGCGAAACCUUUACACUGCACGACAGUGCGAUAAGGGGACUCCGAGUGCGAGGGCAUAUAGUCCUCGCUUUUCUGCACCGUAAGAUGGUGCAAGAAUAAGGACUGGGCAAGACCGGUGCCAGCCGCCGCGGUAAUACCGGCAGUCCAAGUGAUGGCCGCUAUUAUUGGGCCUAAAGCGUCCGUAGCCGGCCAGACAGGUCCGUCGGGAAAUCUGCUCGCUCAACGAGCAGGCGUCCGGCGGAAACCAGCUGGCUUGGGGCCGGAAGACUCGAGGGGUACGUCCGGGGUAGGAGUGAAAUCCCGUAAUCCUGGACGGACCACCGGUGGCGAAAGCGCCUCGAGAAGACGGACCCGACGGUGAGGGACGAAAGCUAGGGUCACGAACCGGAUUAGAUACCCGGGUAGUCCUAGCUGUAAACGAUGCUCGCUAAGUAUGGCGUAGACUACGAGUCUACGCUGUGCUGCAGUGAAGACGUCAAGCGAGCCGCCUGGGAAGUACGUCCGCAAGGAUGAAACUUAAAGGAAUUGGCGGGGGAGCACUACAACCGGAGGAGCCUGCGGUUUAAUUGGAUUCAACGCCGGA
rnacentral:rRNA from 1 species